CAGUAGCCGCGGUAAUACGAAGGGGGCUAGCGUUGCUCGGAAUGACUGGGCGUAAAGGGCGCGUAGGCGGAUUGUUUAGUUAGGCGUGAAAUUCCUGGGCUUAACCUGGGGACUGCGCUUAAUACAGGCAGUCUAGAGUGAGGAAGAGGGUUGUGGAAUUCCCAGUGUAGAGGUGAAAUUCGUAGAUAUUGGGAAGAACACCGGUGGCGAAGGCGGCAACCUGGUCCUUGACUGACGCUGAGGCGCGAAAGCGUGGGGGGCAAACAGGAUUAGAUACCCGUGUAGUCCCUGUCUCUUAUAC
rnacentral:rRNA from 1 species